GUAAAAUAUAUCUGCUAGUAGGUAUAAUUGAUAAUGACCUGCCAAUGUUGAGAUCCACCUUUAAGAGGUUCUGGGGUCCCUGUCCACUGGCCCCAAUUCUCAAAAUAUUUCAUUGUGAGUGUUAAAGAUACACUAGGUGCUCAGUAUGGAAAUGGCACGUUUUAUUGACUCACUGGAUAAAAAUUCUCCUUAGUAUGCUUGCCCAAUGCAUUCACACAUUUUUUUAAAAAUUGUUUUUUAAACCUUGAUUAAUCUGAGUCCUGGCACAAGCAUAAACCUGGCUGUUUUUCUUUACCUAGCAACUUAAAUAGUUUUCUCUAAAAUAACAGAUCAUCAAGUAUAUCAACUUGGAUCCUGACUUCGUGUCUGCCACUGGGCUGUGUCAGCUUCACUAGUAGUCAGAAUGAAGCAUCUGCCUCAGGCAACUGAUUUUGGAAGUCACAAAGGAGAUUAUCACAUGGAGUAAGGAGUGCAAUGGCAGGAAACCUGGUGCUCUCCAGAUGUCUUGGAUGGCAAAGCAUGGUCAAUGAUCAGGAAUUAUGGGAGCUGCAACCUGGAAUGUCUGAAGGACACUAGGCUGAUUAACAUUCAUGGAUCACAACAUCCUGUUUUUAUACUCAGAGGUGGUCCAUGAUUCUUUGCAGCCUCAGAUGGAGUUGCCAAUGAUGGCCCAAUCUGCCAUCAAGUCAAGCAUGUAUGCACCGUCCUUGUGUCUCACACUGGGAAUAAUUGUGCUGGAUAGCCCAUCUACAGAAGUUACAUUAAUAGGCUUGAAAAGCUGAGCACAAAAUGGGAGGCCCAUGGUGCUGUGCAACAAUCAGGCUUUCCCACUGGGAGCACAGUUAUUGCUUCAUGGAAGUUUGGCAAGAAUCCAGGGUUUUGUCUAACAAGGAUGGCCAGAAAGGACUUUACAAAAGAGGGGAAAUGAAAGAGUCCCAAGAGAUGACAGCUGUGUCGUAUGGAUCCAGCCAUCACCUAUCUGUGAAUGUGCUAAAGAAUAUAAUAAAUCACCAGCUAUAUAAUCAUGUAGAUAAAAGCAGGUGCUUUUCUUUUCCAGCCUGCAAUACCUCCCCUGUCUAAUAGGCUGCCUGCAAAGUUGGGAAAUAAAAGAGUGAAAAGGAUUGUCUUCAACUUUGCUGCUGCUGCUCUCAGUUCAAAGAUUACAGACAUUCCUGAGGAUGCUUGGCCCAGAAACCAGGAAGACACUGGGGUCCUUUAAAGAUUAAUUAGCUACAUUGGUAUCCCUUCUCUAUGACUGAAAUAAGGUUUAAAUGACUCAAUAGUAUGGACACUCAUGAUUAGCCCCGAUCCCCUGCUUGGAUCAUUUAAAAAUUAUCAAAGAUGUUUAGCAGUUAACCCUCUGGAGAAAGAGUCCAUUGUAUAACUAAGGUAAAGCUUGAGGGGCUCCCGUAUCAAUUAAUAUCCAUAAACACUGUGCCCCCCCCCCAUGGUCCGAAAUAUUUUUAUACAGCUAUGAAUGCAGCCUAUGUUAUUGUGCCUGAAGCAAUGUAUUUUCUUAUAUGAACCUGCUUGGGCUUUGAACUCUUCAGCCUUUUUGCUUUCCCCCCACCCUCCUCAGAUGCAUGUUUGAUGAAGAUUUGCAACUGCAUUUUUGGUGGUUGUUCUCACAAUGUGGAUCUUCCUUCCAAUUGAGGUGAUAUAUUUAUUUAUUUUACUAAAAUCCAAUAUUUAUUUCCUGCCCUUUAUUUGAAGAUCUCAGGGUGGCUUAUAAUAAAAUCAAUUAAA